AGGUGAACCUGCGGAAGGAUCAUUAUUGAAUGAACAUGGGCAAAGUUGUCGCUGGUCUCAGCAAUGGGACAUGUGCACGCUUUGUUCAUCCACCUUCACACCUCUGUGCACUUCUCAUGGGUUGGGUUGCGCUUGAAAUAUAGCAAGACCCCUCUCAUGUGUUUUAAUCACAUACUACAAGUUUUAGAAUGUUACAAUCAUGCGUCAAUGCAUAUAAUACAACUUUCAGCAACGGAUCUCUUGGCUCUCGCAUCGAUGAAGAACGCAGCGAAAUGCGAUAAGUAAUGUGAAUUGCAGAAUUCAGUGAAUCAUCGAAUCUUUGAACGCACCUUGCGCUCCUUGGUAUUCCGAGGAGCAUGCCUGUUUGAGUGUCAUGGUAUUCUCAACCCUCUUGCAUUUUUUUAAAAUGCAGUUGGGAUUGGACUUGGAGGUUUUUGCUGGUGGUCAGACAUUUUUUAAAUGUGUGAACAUGGGCUCCUCUGAAAAGCAUUAGCUUGAAUAUUACUGAGCAUGAUUCAAUGUGAUAAUUGUCUACGUUGCUUCAACUCGGUAUUAAAUGUGUUCUAGCUUCUAACCGUCCUUUAUGGACAAUAUAUCUGAACAUCUGACCUCAAAUCAGGUAGGACUACCCGCUGAACUUAAGCAUAUCAAUAAGCG
rnacentral:rRNA from 1 species